rnacentral:rRNA from 1 species
AUGAACGCUGGCGGCGUGCCUAAUACAUGCAAGUCGAGCGAACAGACGAGGAGCUUGCUCCUCUGACGUUAGCGGCGGACGGGUGAGUAACACGUGGAUAACCUACCUAUAAGACUGGGAUAACUUCGGGAAACCGGAGCUAAUACCGGAUAAUAUAUUGAACCGCAUGGUUCAAUAGUGAAAGACGGUUUUGCUGUCACUUAUAGAUGGAUCCGCACCGCAUUAGCUAGUUGGUAAGGUAACGGCUUACCAAGGCAACGAUGCGUAGCCGACCUGAGAGGGUGAUCGGCCACACUGGAACUGAGACACGGUCCAGACUCCUACGGGAGGCAGCAGUAGGGAAUCUUCCGCAAUGGGCGAAAGCCUGACGGAGCAACGCCGCGUGAGUGAUGAAGGUCUUCGGAUCGUAAAACUCUGUUAUUAGGGAAGAACAAAUGUGUAAGUAACUAUGCACGUCUUGACGGUACCUAAUCAGAAAGCCACGGCUAACUACGUG